ACCCCACCCCUACUUCACAGCACAACUGAUCAGGCGAGCUGACUUCUCACCUGAUCAGUUGUGCUGUCUUCUGCCCCACCCCCAAACCCACCAAACCCCAGCCCAGCCCAGCCACACAUCUCCAUCACAGCUGAUCAGAAAAAGGGAAUUUGGCACAUCUGGAACAUGUCUACUUGCUGUGGAGAUGAUGACUUGUUCCAGAAGAUGUGCCACAUGGAGAAGGUCUUCAACUCUAAUGAUGCUGCCCACCCUCCUGGAAAGACAAUGACAUCCUGGCAUCUGUGAAGACUAAUGGACAUUGCAAAACUUCUGCAAUAUCUUCUCAUCAUCUGCUUUAAGCAGCAGUCUGGAAGAAUCACACCCAUCAGAUUGACAUGUGAUAGCUACACGUUUGCUGACUGGUUUUUCCUCAUGUCUGCAGGUUCCAUCAACCCCCCUCCAUACUCUCCCCGGGGGGACAGCACAAUGGAGCCUGCCCCACCCCUCACCCCACCCCACCCCAAGUGGCAAAUGUGUGGGAUGAGGCAUGAAGGUAUUCCACCGUCAGUUUCGUUGUCCUGGGCAGGA